UCCUAAUGCCCAUAUGCUCCUUUUUCCUCUGCACUCCAUCUCUCGGKGCKGGGGGKGGGGUGACACCUUCAACGUUAACGGCGUCGAGCGGCGGACGGGUGAGUAAUGCCUGGGAAAUUGCCCUGAUGUGGGGGAUAACCAUUGGAAACGAUGGCUAAUACCGCAUAAUAGCUUCGGCUCAGAGAGGGGGACCUUCGGGCCUCUCGCGUCAGGAUAUGCCCAGGUGGGAUUAGCUAGUUGGUGAGGUAAGGGCUCACCAAGGCGACGAUCCCUAGCUGGUCUGAGAGGAUGAUCAGCCACACUGGAACUGAGACACGGUCCAGACUCCUACGGGAGGCAGCAGUGGGGAAUAUUGCACAAUGGGCGCAAGCCUGAUGCAGCCAUGCCGCGUGUAUGAAGAAGGCCUUCGGGUUGUAAAGUACUUUCAGCAGUGAGGAAGGCGGAGUCGUUAAUAGCGGCCUCGUUUGACGUUAGCUGCAGAAGAAGCACCGGCUAACUCCGUGCCAGCAGCCGCGGUAAUACGGAGGGUGCGAGCGUUAAUCGGAAUUACUGGGCGUAAAGCGCAUGCAGGUGGUUUGUUAAGUCAGAUGUGAAAGCCCGGGGCUCAACCUCGGAAUUGCAUUUGAAACUGGCAGACUAGAGUACUGUAGAGGGGGGUAGAAUUUCAGGUGUAGCGGUGAAAUGCGUAGAGAUCUGAAGGAAUACCGGUGGCGAAGGCGGCCCCCUGGACAGAUACUGACACUCAGAUGCGAAAGCGUGGGGAGCAAACAGGAUUAGAUACCCUGGUAGUCCACGCCGUAAACGAUGUCUACUUGGAGGUUGUGGCCUUAAGCCGUGGCUUUCGGAGCUAACGCGUUAAGUAGACCGCCUGGGGAGUACGGUCGCAAGAUUAAAACUCAAAUGAAUUGACGGGGGCCCGCACAAGCGGUGGAGCAUGUKGUUUAAUUCGAUGCAACGCGAAGAACCUUACCUACUCUUGACGUCCAGAGAACUUUCCAAAGAUGGAUUGGUGCCUUCGGGAACUCUGAGAGAGGUGCUGCAUGGCUGUCGUCAGUUCGUGUAGUGAAAUGUUGGGUUAAGUCCCGCAACGAGCGCAACCCUUAUCCUUGUUGGCCAGCGAGAGAAGUCGGGAACUCCAGGGAGAGUGCCGGUGAUAGAGCGGAGGAAGGUGGGGAGGACGUCAAGUCAUCAUGGCCCUUACGAGUAGGGCUACACACGUGCUACAAUGGCGCAUACAGAGGGCGGCCAACUUGCGAAAGUGAGCGAAUCCCAAAAAGUGCGUCGUAGUCCGGAUUGGAGUCUGCAACUCGACUCCAUGAAGUCGGAAUCGCUAGCACCCCCACCACAGACCCGCCGCAAAACAAAACCGG
rnacentral:rRNA from 1 species